CAGCGCCACGAGUGGUCAGGAUGAUUAUUGGGCCUAAAGCAUCCGUAGCCGGCGCUGUAAGUUUUCGGUUAAAUCUGUACGCUCAACGUACAGGCUGCCGGGAAUACUGCAGCGCUAGGGAGUGGGAGAGGUAGACGGUACUCGGUAGGAAGGGGUAAAAUCCUUUGAUCUAUUGAUGACCACCUGUGGCGAAGGCGGUCUACCAGAACACGUCCGACGGUGAGGGAUGAAAGCUGGGGGAGCAAACCGGAUUAGAUACCCCAGUAGUCC
rnacentral:rRNA from 1 species